AUCCAAGUGAGUAGUCCUAAAUAGGACGAAACAUACGUCCUGGAU
rnacentral:hammerhead_ribozyme from 1 species